UAUGUAAACCCGAUGUAUGGGCCUUUCCUCCAUAAUUCCUGAUAACCCCCUGCAGAAAUAGACAAACACCAAAACUCAUGGAAUUCUGUCAGAUAAAACCCUAAGUCUGGGUGUCAGUUGCAUUUGGAUCCUUUUCUCUAUUUACUUGUUGAUUGUAUUUGAUACUUAAGGACCGUCAACAGUUAUCACUUACGAAUAAAUCCUCCAGUUGCUAAAAAGUCAUUAUUAUCAUUUGUUACUUUAUAUUAAUCUAGUCACAAGAUCAUGGUCAUAGAAUUAAAACCCAAAUGCUAUACUUGCCUUGAUCCGAGUGCUCCUACUGGUCCUGCUGACCUUACUUGCUUCCAAGGCUCUGUUCUUGAUCAUCGAAGUAACGCCCACCGUCUAAUCUCGAUCAUCGAUCAUCAACACACAAACAAUCGGAGACAAACAUACACGAAGCAAACAAGAUUACAAUAAGAACAGUACACUAGCAGAUAAAAAAACAAAAUAAAAUGUUUAAAAACAGAACCUACGUUUUGCUACGAUCACAUAGAUAUGAAGAUCACGAAAAUCGGAACUAAAACGCAAUUGGAAUUCCUAUAGCAAUUUAACUAAUUAACGGCGAUUUCCUAUAGCAAUUUAACUAAUUAAACCUAAACCUAAAAAAUAAAAAGUUACAAACUGCAGUAACACUAGUACUAUAUAGAGAAUUUAAUUAUGAAUCUAACGCAAUUGGAAUGGGUCAAAUCGGAGCUAAAAUGAAUAUUUUAUGGCCAAAACAAUGCAGUGGCAAAUCUGUAAUUAAUUUGAAGUCGAAAAAAUGGAAUUUAAAUCAAUUUUUAAUCUGAAUUUGGAGUUGGCCGAGGACUGCGUGCAUAAUUUAGAAAAAAGACAGGGUCUCUUUAACAAAAAAGACCCCGAAGGGGUAUGGGUUGCUUCUGGCCGUUGAUCUCGCGAUGGACGGCCAGGAUUAGAAGAAGGAAAUAAGAGAGAGAGGAGUGGCGCGCCG
rnacentral:lncRNA from 1 species